GUCUACAGACAUGCUACCCUGAACAAGCCCUAUCCUAUCUGAUCUCAGAAGCUAAGCAGCGUCAGGUCUGGUUAGUACUUGGAUGGGAGAUCACCUAGGAAGAGCAGGUGCUGUAGGCU
rnacentral:rRNA from 1 species